AACACCGCUGCAUGAAGCAGCCCCAGGGCAAAAGUUGUACUUUCUGCUGAAUAAUACACUGCAUGGAAUGACUUGGUGCUCAUGGAUCAGAGGAUUUACAGCUGAUGUCCUGACUUCUGCCCACAAGUUCCACCUUGGAAACCGCAUUACGCUUGGAUGGGGACACUUACCGCAGAGACGGCUAAUUCCAUCCCCAAGGAGACCCAGCUGAUAACCAGAGCCACUACGCCGAACAAGCACACCCUGGGGAGACCGAGAGGAGGUUUGAAGUGGCAGGAUCAUUUUUCCCUUCAUAUCUCCUGUGGCCGUGACCUCGUGAUUCGACUCACCCUAUAAGCGUUCCCUUGGAGUUGCGAAUGAGGCCAAACAGCACCAGGAGGCAGAUGAGGACGUCGAACAGUAGCAGGCUUAUGUAGCCCAGCCACCUGUGAAGACAAAUGUCAUUAACAACGCAUGGC